GUGGGCCCGGGCGCGCACAGCACCUGGACGUGCCACUGCCCGGUGCGCAUCCGUGUCAGGAAUCGUCACAAGGAUGCUCAAGCCAGGAGCCGCUGCAGGGCUGUGGAAGAAGCUUUCUGGUCACAAAGCCCCUUCUCCUGGGGCUGCUGUGGGAGUAGCUCUUGGCACACACUUCCACCCAGAGACUUCACAUCCCAGCUGACGAGGGCACGGUCCUGAGAGCUGGCAGCAAAGAUGGGGGUGGGGUGGAUGCUGCUCAGUCAUUGGAGCAGAUGGAGUGUCCCAGGAGUGGGCGGAAAAUGUCUCUUUAGGAGCCUGAGGCCGGCCCCUGGUGCCCGGAGCCUGAGGCCCCACAACCUCCCCAUGUCCUCCUCCGUUCCCCACGACUGCUGGUGAGAAGUCCUGCCUGGAGUUUUGCAGGGACCCCUCCCUGGACCCAGAAGGGUCCGCGCUUCAACACCUUCAGAGAUCAUUUAGUCCAUCCUCUUUGACAAACGGGGACACACAGGAACCAGGCCACACAAUAUCACCACCUCCCUCUGCCCAGCACACUUAAAGCCGCCUGCACCGCGCUCACCAGGAGCACGUCAGCACCUCCUUGAGCGUCCUGCGGAGCUCCUGGCUGUGGAAGGCGUAGAUGAGGGGGUCGAUGAUGGCAUUGCAGAUGAUGAGGGCGAGAAAGAGGUUGAAGUUCUUGAAGAUGCAGCCGCACGUGGGGUGCUCGGGGCAGAGGACGAUGAGUGUGAGAUGCAGGAAGAAGGGGCCCCAGCAGAGGAAGAAAAUGCCCAGCAGGAUGGUGAGGGUGACAGCGCCUUUAAGGCCAAAGCCCUGGUGGACCGGGCGCUGCCUCUUGUGGAGGCGGGCGAUGCCCUGGGCGUGCUGGCAGGCCCGGGCCAGCAUGUGGACGUACAGCACCGCCAUGAGCACCAGCACAGCCAGGAAGAAGACCACGAGGCACA
rnacentral:antisense_RNA from 1 species